GUACAUCACACUGUGGUGCAACCAUCACUGCCUUCCGCCCACAGAGCUCUUCUCUGUAAAACUGAAACUCUACACAUUAAGUAACAACUCGCCAUUCCUCUUUCCUCCCUGCCCGCCCCAGCAAUUGCCCCUCAACUUUCUGUCUCUGUGAACCCGGUUAUUCUACGAUCCUCAUCCUUGAGCUGCAUUGCAAAGGUCUCCAUAGUUCCCAGGCCCCAGGAAAGGGAGCACAAAGGCAGAAGAACAUUUACCUCUCCACGCUGUCACUGACUGAUGUCUCAUCUAGGACCUCCUCAAAGUGUUGUGCUCCCUCAGGCAAGGGGAUGCGAUGGCAGACCCUCAAAAGCACCAGGCCACCCUUUGCCCUCCACAACUCAGCGCUGACACAUCAUUGGCUGCUGGACUGGCAUGGCCAGAAGGGAUGACAUUCACCAACUCUUGGGAAAUGUGUGACUCUUUUCUGAGACCGUCCUGUGCUCACCACUCUCAACCCACAACUUGUCUUGCACAGCAGAGCCGUUGGGGAUCCCCACCGUCCUGGCCAGGCCCACCCACUUGGCCCAGAAGGUGAUUCCCCAGGGAGAAAUAGUUUAUUAUGAACUGAACACUAACCUCAGAGGAAAAGUCUGAGUUCCAGGGAAGAAAUUCAUUUACUGCAAAGUAUGCAAAGAAAAACUGCAUAAUCAAAAUGAAUACAUUUUUAAUUAAAUGCCUUCAAAGCGACCCAUUAUGUCAACUUCAUUAAUUGGUAAAUUUAGUAUUUAUAAUAAUUUCAUUACAGUUGAAAAAUGAAUUGGAAGUAACAUUUGCCAUUUGCAAUAAUUCUUGAGGAAAGCAUGGAGACUGCUAAGAAAUAACAUGUGUUCCUCAUAUCCUUAUUUUGAAAAGCGAUAUUAUCAAAGGGGGGUCUGGCUGGCUCAGUCGAUAGAGAUGCAACUCUUGAUCUUGGGGUCGUGAGUUUAAGCCCCAUGC